rnacentral:lncRNA from 1 species
AGUCAAAUAAAACAGUGUGCCAAAGAGAGCUGAUUUUUUAAAAUAUUUUUAACUGUUAAGUAAUGUGUUCAAAAUAGGAAGAAAAAGUCAUUCGGGUGCAAAGCCAGACGAUGAAUUUCAGCAGCAGGUUAGGAGCUGAAAGCCCUGGAGACGUGGAGAGAAGUGAAGAUCAGGCGUGGGGCAGGAGAGGCGAGAGAACGCGGCGGUGGCGAGAUCUGAGAGAGAAAGGAUGGCACCCUGGAUGUAUGCCUUGGUGUUCCUGCCACAGUCCUUAAGGGGUGAGAGCCAAGAGCUCUCCUUCUGACACACAUGACACUUCUGACAUGCAAAGCGCGGCUGUGUUUUACUUGGCGAAUCGGGAAGAUGCCCCGUACUUGACGUUAACAACACGGGUUUCAGUUACCAGCCGUUCAAGCUGUGGGCCACGAAGGUGCCCCUAUGGGCCCCUACCCGCCAUCAGACUGAGGUAAUGUUUCCUUUGUCAUCAGUAAUGCUUUUCAAAACCGAGUUUAAAACCCG